AACGCUGGGGCUUGCUGCCCCCCAGCCCUGGCACUUGGGCCCACCCACCCACUGACCUCAGCGGUCUGUAGGUGACCUCGGCCACGUGGAUCCCAAAGAGCUCCUGUGCUGCGUGCCGGAACACAUGCUCCAGCAGCUUGAAGACUUCCCCUGCGGUGAGACGGAAACCACAGCGCUCUCUGUAGCUGGGACUCGGAUGCAAACAGACCAAGGGGAACGUCCAAGUCCUCUGCGUCCCUGGCCAUCUGCAUCCCUGGCCCAGGACCCCAACGCCCACCCUGACACGGGGUCUCGCUGUGUCGCCCAGGCUGCAGCACAGAGGUGCGACCACAGCUCACAGCAGCCGCCGACCCCCGGGCUCUAGCAAUCCUUCCACCUCGUCCUUCCCCGUAGCUGGACUGCGGGCGCCACAUGCCAGGCAGUUCCCUGUCUUACUCAUCCCAGAGCAAACGAGGAGGGGCCAGGGGCCCAUCCAGCCACAGGUCCCAGCGGUGGGUCAGCGGCCGGCGGCAAGACCAGGAGGCAC